rnacentral:ribozyme from 1 species
ACUUAUAGCCUGAGAAAAGGACAGAAAAAGGAAAAAAGGAAAAAAAGGAAAAAAAGAGCCGAAAAAGAAACAGUGCAUUGCUCUGGUGUUUC